rnacentral:rRNA from 1 species
AUUGAACGCUGGCGGCAUGCCUUACACAUGCAAGUCGAACGGCAGCACGGGAGCAAUCCUGGUGGCGAGUGGCGAACAGGUGAGUAAUAUAUCGGAACGUGCCCAGUAGUGGGGGAUAGCCCGGCGAAAGCCGGAUUAAUACCGCAUGAGACCUGAGGGUGAAAGCGGGGGAUCGCAAGACCUCGCGCUACUGGAGCGGCCGAUAUCAGAUUAGCUAGUUGGUGGGGUGAAGGCCUACCAAGGCAACGAUCUGGAGUUGGUCUGAGAGGACGACCAGCCACACUGGGACUGGGACACGGCCCAGACUCCUACGGGAGGCAGCAGUGGGGAAUUUUGGACAAUGGGCGCAAGCCUGAUCCAGCAAUGCCGCGUGCAGGAAGAAGGCCUUCGGGUUGUAAACUGCUUUUGUCAGGGAAGAAAUCCUCUGGGUUAAUACCUCGGGGGGAUGACGGUACCUGAAGAAUAAGCACCGGCUAACUACGUGCCAGCAGCCGCCGUAAUAC